rnacentral:lncRNA from 1 species
AGCGGGAGAAGAGGAGAACGGGCGAGAGGAGGGCAACACGGCGUGCUUGAAUGUGUACUUAGCGGCAAGGAACACACUCGCCUCGCAUGUUAGGAUAGAGAUUAUGUCGUCCAAGGAGUCUAUAGUUAGUUAAGGCUACCAUUCUUCGGUUGGGUAGACCUUUGAGCCCCACCGACGAAAGAGAUCGCGGCAACAACGCGUUUUCGUCGUCACGCGCACCAACAAUUAGAUAUUAAUUCUAUUCAGACCUCGCGCUGCCUAUAACCGGGACAGUCGCUACAAAAGACGCGGGCGGAUUAACCUCUUUCGGUGGUGUCUAUCUUCUUCUUCUUUUUUUUUUUUUCGGGAGUCUUAUUCCCGCCGAGGUUCAGCGGAACAAAGCGGAAUUUGUCCGCCGCCUCACAAUGGAGUCCGCAAACAUAUCGCCGGAUUAGAUAACUCGAUAUUUUCUUUGAGAGACUUUGCAUCGUCAGUGAAAAUUCUUACAGGUAUUAUUUUCAGGAUCACUCAUCUUAAAACGUUUGCGUAUGUAUAAAUGAUGUAUCAUAUUCCUCGCCUUUACGUCUACCUGACAUACCUCAAUUCUCCUGCAGAUUUCUUCCUCUCGUACGUUAUGGCAGAAAUUAAUAUUCCUAUUUGUAAAUGCCGUCAUUUAAUUAAAUCUGAUAUCGCGCGUUUAAGUUCCGACCCGUAAAAUCGUUUAAGUCUCAUCUUACCGCGGGCCAUAAAUAACAAUUCGCGAGGGGUUAUUACUAACGUGGCAAAAGCAACGGCGAAAAAUACGAUUAACCAGAUUCGUCAAUCUAGAUAAGAGGCUUUCAUUCGCAGCCCGAUUAAAAAAAUUUCGCCCGUGAUCUUCGAGAGCCGUAAUAUUUCAGCACACAGCUGCGAAGAUAAUAACCAGACCGAGCAUAUAUAAGGCGGUGCCUGUUCUGCGUCAACACGUCCACUAGAAACAUCAGCGGCUGUUUCGCUUUCCUUAUCUAUACGCGGCACAAACUUCCCCAGGCAUAAAUGGAGGAUGAUGCACCGCGGCGCGUAUAAAGGGAGGAAAAAAAAUAUCGCCGAAACCCUCGUAACACUCCUACGCCAGCCGCGGGAAACGCGACAAUCUCGCGGAGCAAUUUUUAUCCAUUUGAACCCCCUCGACACGAAGACAGACGAGGAUUCGAUGCGGCGCGAAGCGCCUCGAAAGGGAAGGUGGUGACUUCUCGCCGGCGGCAAUUUUUCCGAGGGGGGAAGAAAAAAAACGAGCGCCGGACACAUGGCUCACGUAUGAAGGACGACGGUGGCCGCGAAAAUGAUGCGUUUUAUGGUUUUAUAAUGCGAAUGGUUGACCAAAAAGGGGGGAUCCCGAGACUGUAACACAUGGCUGCUCGUGUGUCUGUCACUCUUUCCUGAUCGCGCACACGUAUAUGUGUACGGCAAGGGGAUGACCGCUCUUCGACUGUCCACUACGAAACUGGGUAAUGAGCCGUCACGUAGACCGGGUUUACUCCCCAAUAAAAUCUAUAUCAGGAUACAGGAGGGAGACGCUCUUUUUAUCUCAACACCGCCAUACAUCAUUCUCCAAGCGUCGUCAACGCACUACCACUCUUGCUUUUCAGCUAUAACUCCGCCGCGAAGUUUGAUUUAUUAUAGAUCCUUGACAUUUCGAAGUAUCGUUUACCGUGGAUGCGCUCCCACAUUUUUCGCUUGCUUAAGAAAACGAUACGAUCACGAGGCAUAAUACGUUAUAUCAAGAUGCAGGAUAAUAUAUAUUCGCAUGAUACAAAAUAAUAGAAUCGUCGUUAAUAUUCAAGUGUUAAACGAGUUUUUAAAAAAGUAUUUCUUGAUCGAAACGAAUCUUGACGUUUAAUAAUACUUUCAUAUUUAUUAUUAAGUAUAAUUUUUCAGUUCACUUGUCGGACUUUCAAACAUAAUAGUAGACUGAAGCUAGAAAUUUUGCGCAAUGAGUUCUACAGCCAAUUAAUCAGUUUCUAAAAUGCUUGUAGCAUAAUUAAUAAAUUCAAUAACCAAAUUAAUUUAAAAUAUUUCUAACUUUAAUUGGUCGGGCACUUUUUAUUUUUUGCGUUAUUCACAAAUUAGUUUAAUAUUCAACUUAUUAUUGUAAUUUUAUUUCAGAUUUUAUUACUAAUCGUCAGCAGUGUUGCAACGCGUGCUUUGUUUCACGCGACACGAGCAAUUUGCAGCGCUAUUUUUAGGUUUCACGGCAUCGCGACGUCUCUUUCCUUCAAAGAAAGGAAAAAAAGAACGAUAAGUCGUCUAAAGGAUCAUAAAACGACAAUGUUGCGUAAUUAGCAGUGCGCAUGGCGCUACUGGCGUACUAAACAUUCAACUAAAAUAAACAACCACGACUGGGCAGGGCUUGAUUUAUGAGGGAGGCCUGAUGUUCCCCUGGAUGUCAUCCAGGGGUUUAACGCUUUUCGUGAUCUUGGGCCGCGCGCUUUAGAGCAACCGUCCCGGGAACCCGAUCAAUAAUACAUCUCGUAAACGCACUCGGCGUCGGGAGUGAUGGCUUCUCCAGUUUCAGAUACGGCCAAACGGUGAGUAAUGCCAAACAAACGGGAAAAUAUACCUAUCUGGCAGCGACGGCGACGGCGGCGGCGACGACGACGUCAACGGCGGCCGCGGCCACGUCGUGGGAGACGCGCUAUAUUUACGCGGCGGUGGUUUCGUCUUUUUUAACGGGGCGCCCACGGUCGAACCGUUUAUAUUUAGCGCGCGUUCCCUUUCGGCCAAAGGCACCACCUUGUGACGUGUCAGAUGCGACAACUCGUGCUCGCCUCUUUAUCGAACGCGCGCGGGUGACCCCUCGUGUAGCACCGUGGCGCUAUUUCAGGACGCAUGGGAACGCCGUUUCGGCAGGUGCCUCCGGCUGAUUAAAAAUAAUCAGAGUCCUCUCGCCUCUUACGAGGAGCGCCUGCCAGCCUCUCGUGCCGCGCGCGGUAUGGAUACGCUCAUGUCGAGGGGACCGCGGAACAUAAACGAGGGACCCCCAAGCGACGAGAUGUUUGUUCGUUCCACAUAUUAAGGUGUUCGCGAGGCGUGUUUAACGCGCGGGGCAAUAUUUAUCGUCGAAGGUGAGGCUAAUUCUUCUUUUUCUUCCUUCGUGUACAUUUUUUUUGUAUUCUUCAGCGUUCCGGGAUAAAACUUCCCUGUAUAAUUAAACUUGGAGGAAUCGUUUAAAUUAAUCCUGACGGCGAACAUUGUAAAUUAAUUAAACACGCUACCAAUCACGGUAGAGCAUAGCUUCGCGUCUACUCGAGCCAACGAGUACCGGCUGAUGACCUGAAUGAGCGAAUCAUCGCUUUUGAUCGAAUCGUCCUUCCCGAUGCGGAACAAGCGGCGCGCAAAUCGGCAUGGAAGUGAACGCACGUAGUUUGAAAGCUCGUGGGUUUCAACAGGUGCUUUCGCGAAGCUGAAGUACGCAGCUGACUGCGGCGGGGAGACGAGGGUAGUGCGCGAAAGCGACGAAAACGCAUCCGUCGAGUCGAGGACUGGCAGCGAGGGUGGCCCCUUGCUCCCUAGGGGACAUCAUCAAGGAAAUUGGAUUCGGCAUUUUUCAAAUCCUACCCCAAAACACACGUAUAGAUGUUCGACCGGUCGCGCCGAAACCGUAUUUUCGCCCCUAGGAGGCUAGUGCUUGACAAUCAAAUUACGUUAUUUUUAUGCUGCUUAGGUUGAAAGUGGAGGCAAGAAAAAAAAA